UACGUAGGGGCCGAGCGUUGUCCGGAGUUAUUGGGCGUAAAGAGCUCGUAGGCGGUCUGUCGCGUCGAUCGUGAAAACUUGGGGCUUAACCCUGAGCUUGCGGUCGAUACGGGCAUCACUGGAGUUCGGCAGGGGAGACUGGAAUUCCUGGUGUAGCGGUGAAAUGCGCAGAUAUCGGGAGGAACACCCGUGGCGAAGGCGGGUCUCUGGGACGGUACUGACGGCUGAGACGCGAAAGCGUGGGGAGCGAACAGG
rnacentral:rRNA from 1 species